ACCUACGGGGGGCAGCAGUGAGGAAUAUUGGUCAAUGGGCUUACGCCUGAACCAGCCAAGUCGCGUGAGGGAAGACUGCCCUAUGGGUUGUAAACCUCUUUUGUCGGGGAACAAAGGCGCCCACGGGUGGGCGGAUGAGUGUACCCGAAGAAAAAGCAUCGGCUAACUCCGUGCCAGCAGCCGCGGUAAUACGGAGGAUGCAAGCGUUAUCCGGAUUUAUUGGGUUUAAAGGGUGCGUAGGCGGACAGUCAAGUCAGCGGUAAAAAUGCGGUGCUCAACGCCGUACAGCCGUUGAAACUGGCAGU
rnacentral:rRNA from 1 species